rnacentral:siRNA from 1 species
CGGUGAGAGACACAAUCGGCGA